CCAAAGGGCGUUGGGGUUAGCACGGAGAAAGGACGUCAGACACGCUCAACAGUCACUCCUAAAGUCCCAGGCGAGCACCAUGGAGAAGACAGAAUUAAAACAAGUGAGGGCAUUUCUGCCACAAAAGGGCAGUUCAGUCCAGAUACCCCCUGCAAGCCAAACUCAACCAACUGGUGGCUCCUGUAUUCCUGGGUUUACUGUCCAGGAAAAGUGGCCCAAACCAAAAAGCACUGGGGCACCAACACGAGGCAGCCGCCUCCGUAUUCAGCCUGAUAAUAACAUGAAAAAGCCAAAAAAGGGAACAAAUACAGAACACUGAAAUGUGUCAUCAUUUCAAAAAUGAAACGACAUGGUCACUUUAACAUUUGUUACAAAAAGAAUGCAUGACAAUCUCAGAAUAAAGGACAGAUGUUUCAAUUGGACAUGUUGGUCUUUAAGAAAACUUUCCUAUUUUCUCAUUCUCUCAUGGACAGGUGAAGACAAGACGGUGUUUCAUCAGCCAGUGUUGCAGAACUCGGCCCCUCUCAGGCUCUGCACGUACCCCAUCCCCCGACAAAGCCUAGCUCUCCCUCUCUUUCUGAUUCAUGGGAACUACCUAGAGUUGCGGAGUCUUCUGACUCCAGAAACCUGUGUCCUGGUGGCCAUCCCAGGAGAAACAACUUUGAUCCUGACCCCAAGAGCUGCUGACCUGGCCACAACUUCUCUGUCAAGGGCCUCACUUAAUGCCUGGAAAUCCCACAAGUGAAAAUGCUCAGGAAAAUUCCAUGGCCCAGUGCCGAGCAGUCUUGAACCGCACAAGCCGUGACUAAGUAACUAUCUAAAACAGCUCUCCCUCCCGCCCCAACACCACCCAGAGUGGGCGUCAACAUCAGCAAUUGUCUAGGGAAAAUAAGCGGGCCCUCUUUUCUAGAAAGAACCCAUUUCAGAAUGUUUGAAGAGAAAAAUCAACACCCACUGUCUGGGGCCACAUUAGACAGAUUCAACUGGGCACGGCUGUCACGCCCUGGCCCAGGAUCUGCUAAGGGGUAGUGAGUUCUCUGCCUACUCCUCCUCUUCUCUGAGGCCUGAGUCUGCACGGGGCUGGCUCCCCGGCUUCUGGGCAGGUGAGAGGGACACUUUGGGGCUCUCCGCCCCCAGUUUCGGCAGCUCUGCCCCGGCUCAGGCACUCCCCUGUGACAUCAGCAUCUUGGGGGGUGAAUCACUGCCGCAGCUCUGAAGCUGCUGUGGCCAUGCAUGGCUGUCGGGCUGUGAUGAGUCCGGAGGAAGCCACGCCCCUCACACCAGCACAGGUCGGCCUUGAAGGGCGCCAAGGCCUCCCACCACGUGAUGUCUGGAAACUUUUCACAAGUGGGGGUAUCUGCUGAGCGGGGGGAAGUGACGCAACAAAUAACGGGGAGCAUGGCAGUGGCAACAGGCAUGAGCCACAGCGCACCAGCCUCCGAGCCACAAGUUCAGCGUUGCUGCUGCUGCCAGAGGCCCAGAAACAGCUGUUCCCUCCCCCUACACAUCCCCGCGCAGGCUUUGGCUCUCUCAAUGACAUUCCUAAAUGGCUGUGGCUAGAGCCCUAAGUGUAAGCACUGGAGAGCCAGGGCCAGCCCCGAAAUCAGGAGGUAAGGCCCUGGGGCAGCUGGCCCCGCACCAAGUGCACCAAGUGGCUGGCAGCAGCACACGGCCACCUGGAGCAAAGCACAGAGGCCUUUCUCUCCUGUCCUCAGUCCCUGGAAGCAGCAGGUUCCUAUCUGUGACCUGAAGGAACGCAAGGGAGAAUCGUGGCUGCGCUGCUCCUAUGCACUGGACAUGGGGAGGCACCAAUGUCCAGCUUGUGGAUCAAGACCUGAAGGGCACAAAGGGCAAGGUGUCAGAGCUGGGAUGCUGUCCUGAUGACCAAAAGCUUAGGUGGACACAGAGCCCUGGGCUCCCUCACGAGGAAUUCACUGGGGAACAAAAAAGUGAGGCACUGAGGACACCUGCAGUGUGAGUCCGGACAGGCACACUGACACAGCGGAACAGACGCGGCAGAACCGACACGGCGGAACGGACGCGGAUGAUGCAGAGCCCCUCUCAGGAUGGCCAGCCAUUCCUCCCCUGCCAGGGCCCACCACGCCUCCCAUGGAGAGACGGUGUCUGUUUCCCUCCUGUCGGAAUCUGGAUGGCCCAGAGACGACUCUGACAUCAGGAUGCUGGGACUGUGCCAAUUCCAGACCUAAACCUAAAGAAGCCUGGAAGAUUCUGCUGUGGCUCCUGGGAAUCCAGUCACCGAGCUGGAGGAAAGUCCAAGCUCCCGUGUGAGUGGGAGACACAUGGAGGGGCUCUGGGGAGAGGGCACAUGGAGAAGAGCAGAGAGGCCACUGACAGCACCAAUGCUCUGUGGCGAGGGACACACUUUCCUGGACCUCCCAGCCCAGCUGUGCGCUGCUGCACGCACGGCCUCAACCAACACCUCGGGGAGCAAGCGACUGCCUGUCCACCCAUCCAACUAAGAAAGACUGACUCACCGAUGACUUAUGCCACUGGGUUUUGGGGUGCUGUGCUGUGCAGCAGGAGAUAACUGAGACGGACGGUAAAACCAGGAAGAAAAGGAAGUGAUUCAGCCAAAGGUUCAGGAUGACGGUUCUCUCUGGAUGGGGGAGGUCCCAAAGCACCACAGACUGCUGAGUAAGCCAGGUUUCUGUUUGGGCCGUGAAAUCCACUCUGGUGCCAAGUUCCAUACUGCUGCCUCCACGACGCAGGGAUUCCAGUGGCGGCUGAGCCCCAUGGAAGCAGCAGAGCCUCCCGGGACAGGCCAAGCAGGACCUGGAUCUGGGUUCCACCAGCCACCCGCAGGUGAUCUCCAGCAAAGCUUCUCCAAUGGCCAACAGGGCUAAUGGUAUGACUUCCUUUGUGACAGGAUUAAAUUAAGUAACAUAGGUCAAGACCCUGUACAGAGCCUGGCAUAUCGUGAGCAUGCAACAAACUACUGUUGCCAGGAAGCAGAGAUGCAGAUGAUAGUUUCAUUUUUUUAGGCCAAAGUCUUUAUCAGAUGGUUUCUAUAUACCCCUUUGCACUGGGCACAUGGGGUACUUGACCUUGUUAAGAGGUGUAAUCAUAACCCAUCACUCCUAAAUGCAAUCUGGAAGAAUUCCAGAGCACAAUUAGCAUGAAGACAGGGAGGAAGUGAUGGGAGGGGCACUGAGUGGAGAGACAUCUAGAGCUAUUGUCUCUGCCAGGAGGCACUUUAUAUUGAACAACUGUUCUGUUAAACCCCAAGAGUGCUCCCAGACAAAGGCUGGAGUGCAUGCCCAGAGUGCUAAGUGGCCCCAGAGAGCACAGCUCCAUGUCAGAGUCAAAUGGGCACCUGUCAAACAUGAAAUGUUACCCAGGUUAUUAGUAUGCACUAAACUACCUGCAGGGUUUCCAAACUGCCACAAAGGGAAGCCAUUAAGCCAGGAAGCAACUGGCCUACCAUAGGGAGACACUGAUCUUUACAAACAACAGUCCCCGGCUCCCAGAACAAGCUGCUCCCAGCUCUGAGCCUUGACAUGAGCCAUCUUGUGUCCAGGUGCUUGAGGAACCUAAGGGCAGGUGAGAAGGAUCACCAUUUGGCUUCCAGUUGCUCAGCAUUCUUGAUUUUCUAGAAAUACAGGUGGAUCAACAUAAACUUCCAAAGGAGCCAGGCACGGUGGCUCACACCUGUAAUCCCAGCACUUUAGGAGGCCGAGGCAGGACUGUGGGAGGUCUGAG
rnacentral:lncRNA from 1 species